AGAGUGCAAACCCUAAUUCCCUCCUUUCGGCGACCAUUUCUUCUCUUCCAACCACAAUAUUGAACACCAGUAGUAGACAGAUCUGUGAGCUGUGGGAGGAAAGGAAAGCGCUUGAAUUGUGAAACUGAAAAGCAUCGAACAAGAUAGCGGGUUUAUCUUGUUUCUUUUUGUGUCCUUGGUUGAGAGCUUAACACCUGUCACGGAAGCCCACCCAACAUUGUUCA